rnacentral:rRNA from 1 species
AUUGAACGCUGGCGGCAGGCCUAACACAUGCAAGUCGAACGGUAACAGGAAGCAGCUUGCUGUUUCGCUGACGAGUGGCGGACGGGUGAGUAAUGUCUGGGAAACUGCCUGAUGGAGGGGGAUAACUACUGGAAACGGUAGCUAAUACCGCAUAACGUCGCAAGACCAAAGAGGGGGACCUUCGGGCCUCUUGCCAUCGGAUGUGCCCAGAUGGGAUUAGCUUGUUGGUGGGGUAACGGCUCACCAAGGCGACGAUCCCUAGCUGGUCUGAGAGGAUGACCAGCCACACUGGAACUGAGACACGGUCCAGACUCCUACGGGAGGCAGCAGUGGGGAAUAUUGCACAAUGGGCGCAAGCCUGAUGCAGCCAUGCCGCGUGUAUGAAGAAGGCCUUCGGGUUGUAAAGUACUUUCAGCGGGGAGGAAGGGAGUAAAGUUAAUACCUUUACUCAUUGACGUUACCCGCAGAAGAAGCACCGGCUAACUCCGUGCCAGCAGCCGCGGUAAUACGGAGGGUGCAAGCGUUAAUCGGAAUUACUGGGCG